AGGAAACCCACCCUGACCAGAGACAGAUUGUUUACCUCCAAAGAAAUGGGCAUUAACCCAGGAUCCCAGAAGGAAGGUGGAGUUAGGAUGGUUGUGAGAACAAUCAUGAAGGAGGAGCUGGAGGCCUCACAGACAAAAUCUUCCCUAUGGGACUUGUUCCGUACACCCAACCUGCGUAAGCGGAUAUGCCUCCUGUCCCUAGUGAGAUUUGUGGUGUGGACAUCUCUGUAUGGCCUGCUGAUCAACUUCCAGCACCUGAGGACUAAUGUCUUCCUAUUGCAGUGUCUUUUUGGUACAAUCACCAUUCCAG
rnacentral:lncRNA from 1 species